GACAGAGGAUGCAAGCGUUAUCCGGAAUAAUUGGGCGUAAAGAGUCUGUAGGUUGUUUAAAAAGUAUUUUGUUAAAGAUUAGGGCUUAACUCUAGGAAUGCGGAAUAAACUUUUAGACUAGAGUAUGGUAGAGGCAAAGGGAAUUUCCGGUGAAGCGGUGAAAUGCGUAGAUAUCGGGAGGAACACCAAAGGCGAAAGCACUCUGCUGGGCCAUUACUGACACUGAGAGACGAAAGCGAGGGGAGCAAAUGGGAUUAGAUACCCCAGUAGUCCUCGCCGUAAACGAUGGAAACUAGAUGUUGGGUGUGUGAAAAGCAUUCAGUAUCGUAGCUAACGCGUUAAGUUUCCCGCCUGGGAAGUAUGCUCGCAAGAGUGAA
rnacentral:rRNA from 1 species